rnacentral:rRNA from 1 species
UAUUGGACAAUGGGCGAAAGCCUGAUCCAGCAAUGCCGCGUGAGUGAUGAAGGCCUUCGGGUCGUAAAGCUCUUUUACCAGGGAUGAUAAUGACAGUACCUGGAGAAUAAGCUCCGGCUAACUCCGUGCCAGCAGCCGCGGUAAUACGGGGGGAGCUAGCGUUGUUCGGAAUUACUGGGCGUAAAGAGUACGUAGGCGGUUAUUCAAGUCAGAGGUGAAAGCCCGGGGCUCAACCCCGGAACUGCCUUUGAAGCUAGAUAACUAGAGUCUUGGAGAGGUCAGUGGAAUUCCGAGUGUAGAGGUGAAAUUCGUAGAUAUUCGGAAGAACACCAGGGCGAAGGGGCGACGAUCUUCUGCGACGCGAGUAGAAGG